GACAGAGGGUGCAAACGUUGCUCGGAAUCACUGGGCGUAAAGGGCGUGUAGGCGGGAAGGAAAGUCAGGUGUGAAAGCCCUGGGCUCAACCCAGGAACUGCAUUUGAAACUCCCUUUCUUGAGUGUCGGAGAGGAAAGCGGAAUUCCUGGUGUAGAGGUGAAAUUCGUAGAUAUCAGGAGGAACACCGGUGGCGAAGGCGGCUUUCUGGACGACAACUGACGCUGAGACGCGAAAGCGUGGGGAGCAAACAGG
rnacentral:rRNA from 1 species